rnacentral:rRNA from 1 species
CCUACGGGGAGCAGCAGUGAGGAAUAUUGGUCAAUGGCCGGAAGGCUGAACCAGCCAUGCCGCGUGAAGGUCAGUGCCCUAUGGGCGUUAAACUUCUUUUGUGCGGGAGCAAUAAUGGUCACGUGUGGCCAGACGAGAGUACCGUACGAAUAAGCAUCGGCUAACUCCGUGCCAGCAGCCGCGGUAAUACGGGGGAUGCAAGCGUUAUCCGGAUUUAUUGGGUUUAAAGGGUGCGUAGGCUGUGAGGUAAGUCAGCGGUGAAAUGCCCGCGCUCAACGGGGUGAAGUGCCAUUGAUACUGCCUGGCUGGAAUGCGGAUGCCGUGGGAGGAAUGUGUGGUGUAGCGGUGAAAUGCAUAGAUAUCACACAGAACACCGAUUGCGAAGGCAUCUCACGAAUCCGCGAUUGACGCUGAUGCACGAAAGCGUGGGUAUCAAACAGGAUUAGAUACCCUAGUAGUC